UUAUCACUUGUAGCCGAUCCCUUCGGAAGUCAUCUGCUCCAAGUGAAUUAUGAAGACGCCAGUUUUGGGAUAUGCAUUCUCAAGUUUCAUGACGAACUGCUUUGGUGUUCCAGCAGUUUUUUUGUGCCUCAGUGUGUAAAGAGACAUUGUGAAGAAAAGUAAGCAGACGAACAGUGCAUUUUCAUCGCAAGUUUGACGGUGCUUAUUUCAAAAGGUGAUUUAAAAAAAAUGAUAAUGUCAAAAUAAGGAUGCCCGGUUACUAGAACUGCUCACAUUCAUUUACUUGGAUGCACAUACAUUGCUUUGCCUUUUUUUACAGAAAAGACGUGUUUACCUGCACUGGUGUCACCUCCAAUUGAAGAACAGCAGCUAGGCUGGAUGGGUCGGUGACAUAGAGGCUCUCCUGUACUUGACUGUUGUCUCCAGUAUCCAUUGCAGCCUGGUAGCAAGAGCACAUGCCAGCCAUUUCCGUUUAAACUUCAAUUGCAACCACUGUAUGCUUAUAACACAAUAAAAGUGUUGGGUGAAUUGCACAUAGAAUAGAUGCUCACCUGCGCAAGUUGUGGCUCAAUAGGAACACUGGUACUUAGGCCAGAUGGACCGGGCUCAGACAGGCUGGUCUGGACUGCAGUUUCAUAUUCCAAAUCCAUGGCAGCCUGAAAACAAGAGUGCUUAUGUAUAUCAGCUGUUUGCCUUACAACACAGUAACACACUACUGCCUUCCUGAAGUACUCAGCAAACAUGUAGGAAAGAAAGCAGCUAUGUAUUUAAAAUAGUUCAUCUAUAGGUUUGUGUGUAUUGACAGAACAGUGACCGCACUCACUCAAUGUUGAACUCAUGCAAGAAUGCUAGCUUGAAUCAGUUUCUUCAGCAGUCAUAUAGAUUUUAUUAGGUAUUAGCGUUAUGAAAAAUU